rnacentral:lncRNA from 1 species
UAAAGACAGUACUUACUUCAAGACCUUUAAUGAUAAAAUACAAUAUAUUCAAUAUUUUGUCCUAAAGGUAGAACCUAUUUUUAUAUUUAAGACGAACAUGCAAAACUCUUAUUUUUAGUUAUAUUUUAUUAUUUAGCUUAGACAUGAGUGCUUGUGUGUUUGUAUGUGAUGGGCGUGAUGAGCUCAGAGGCCAAUUUUCAGGAGUCAGUUUUCUCCACUAUGUGAGUCAAACUCUUGGUUCAUUUGGUGGUAAGUGUCUUUACCUGCUGAGCUAUCUCACCAUCAUAUCAUUUACCUGAGGGUGUCUCCAAUUGAGUUUUUCAUUUGGAUAACAUAUCACCUUUACAUUAUAUUAAUCUUAUUUUUCCUUUCCAAAUUUUGCAUUAUCAUCAUGGCAGGAAGCAUGGUAGCAUCCAGACAGGCAUGGCGUUGGAGGAGCUGAGAGUUCUACAUGUUGUUCCAAAGGCAAACAGGAGAAGACUAACUUCCGGGUAAUUAGAAGGAGGGUCUCCAAACACACCCACACAGUGACACACUUCCUUCCAUAAGGCCUCACCUCCUUAUAGUGCCACUCUCUGGGCCAAGCAUAUUCAAACCCUCACAUUGCUCAAGGUUUAUUUUUGUUAUGAAAAAUAUCAUGGCAUCAGAUUGCUCACUCUGCAUUGUUAAGAUCAGGAGCCAGAAUGGACCUGCAGAGUUCUUACAAGUCUGU